GGGGGCUUAGCUCAGCCGGUCAGAGCGCAUGCUUCACACGCAUGAGGUCACUGGUUCGAUCCCAGCAGUCCCCACCA
rnacentral:tRNA from 1 species